UUUGGACAGUUUGGUCAGUGGUUCGGUGGUUAUCCUUUAAAGUUCAUCUCCUCCAACGUAGAUUUGGGAAACGUUGACAAGAAGUAAUAUUAGGGAAUGAUGCUACGAUGAAUAUUCAAGACUGGUUGAAGAAAGAAAAUGCUGCUGCUAUCCAGAGUGUCUUCAGAACUUCAAUAUCCAAUUCUUUCCUUUUCCUCCACCCCAUCGGGGGCGGCGCCCCUGAUCGGGUGGAGGCGCUCCUAAGGGCUUGCAUAGUAGGCGUGUUGGCCUACUGUGCGAGUCCUUGGAGUUUUUAACUUUUUAUUGUUAAAGAUAACAGUGACUUGCUCAGAGGGGUUCAGAAUGGCGGACUCGAGGAUUUGGAGUAAUUGUGUGAUUAGUUCGUGGAAUACAACUUUCAGUAUUAAAAAAAGUGAGGCUUUCCUCAUUUUAGUUUUAAAGUGGAAUAAAACAGGUUUUGAGUAAUCAUUCUGUAACCGCAGAUUCAUGAUUAAGAAAGAUUCCAGUGUGCGCACCAUCCUGUAAAUACCGUGUUUCUAACCACAUGAAAUUGACCCUGAUUUUCAGGAAAAAGGGUACAUAAGGUGUUAAAUGUUUUAAAUUUUAAGAUUCAAGAACAUAAAAUUUUAA